GACGAACGCUGGCGGCGUGCUUAACACAUGCAAGUCGAACGGAAAGGCCCUGCUUUUGUGGGGUGCUCGAGUGGCGAACGGGUGAGUAACACGUGAGUAACCUGCCCUUGACUUUGGGAUAACUUCAGGAAACUGGGGCUAAUACCGGAUAGGAGCUCCUGCUGCAGGGUGGGGGUUGGAAAGUUUCGGCGGUUGGGGAUGGACUCGCGGCUUAUCAGCUUGUUGGUGGGGUAGUGGCUUACCAAGGCUUUGACGGGUAGCCGGCCUGAGAGGGUGACCGGCCACCUUGCGACUGAGAUACGGCCCAGCCUCCUACGGGAGGCAGCGGUGGGGAGUAUUGCACAGUGGGCGGAAGCCUGAUGCAGCGACGCCGCGUGCGGGAUGACGGCCUUCGGGUUGUAAACCGCUUUCGCCUGUGACGAAGCGUGAGUGACGGUAAUGGGUGAAGAAGCACCGGCUAACUACGUG
rnacentral:rRNA from 1 species